GUGUGUUCAGGUUUUAAAAUUAAGGCAUCUACUGACUGCUAUGCCUUGCUUUAGUUGGUGUGAGUUAGUAAUCAGAUUUCUGAACUCCAGUAGAUGGUGGGUUAGAUACUCAGCUCAAGGCAUUUGUGGACAUUUAAGGGUGUGUGGAUGAAUUCUAAGCACCUUGGGAACUUCCAGGUCAAAAUACAGUGCUCUGACUAGAGUGUGCACAAACGUGUAAGCCAGGGACUUCAAACAGGGAAUGCAGACUCAAAUGCUCAGCUCCCAUUAGUGGCUAAAGAGCACCACCUUGCUGUCGCCAGUGCUCUCUGGAGAAAUUUCUUUCCCUAUUUGAAGAGCCAGAGAAUGUCACAGAUGCCACCUUCCCCUCAGCUUGCUGAUACAGCUGCAGGUUUUGCACUGUUGGCAUUGGAUAUACCCAGCAAAGCUCUAUCAGAUCUUCAGCCACAACCUGUUCUAUCAAUGAUGCAGUUGUUUGGAUGGGAUGAUAUGGUGUGGCCUCACCUGGUGUCUAGAUAUCUGAGUCACCUAAUUCAAAACAGGUGAAAAAUUGCAACUACUUGUUCUUUCUAGUUCUUCCAGUACCUUCUUAUUCCUUAUUUGGACUUGGGAAAAUGUUUCAAACAGCAAUGUUUCAUU